GAUGGGUAGGGGAGCGUCGUGUGCCGGGUGAAGCAGCACCGGAAGGUAGUUGUGGACGGUUCACGAGUGAGAAUGCAGGCAUGAGUAGCGAUACAAACGUGAGAAACGUUUGCGCCGAUUGACUAAGGGUUCCUGGGUCAAGCUGAUCUGCCCAGGGUAAGUCGGGACCUAAGGCGAGGCCGACAGGCGUAGUCGAUGGAUAACCGGUUGAUAUUCCGGUACCCGCUGUGAAGCGUCAAACAUCGAAUCCAGUGAUGCUAAGGCCGUGAAGCCGCCGUCCUCGUCUUUGACGUGGUUCGGAGUGGUGGAGCCGCCGGCCCAAGUUGGUAGUAGGUGAGUGAUGGGGUGACGCAGGAAGGUAGUCCAGCCCGGGCGGUGGUUGUCCCGGGGUAAGGGUGUAGGCCGUGUGGUAGGUAAAUCCGUCACACAUUGAGGCUGAGACCUGAUGCCGAGCCGAUUGUGGUGAAGUGGAUGAUCCUAUGCUGUCGAGAAAAGCCUCUAGCGAGUUUCAUGGCGGCCCGUACCCUAAACCGACUCAGGUGGUCAGGUAGAGAAUACCGAGGCGUUCGGGUGAACUAUGGUUAAGGAACUCGGCAAAAUGCCCCCGUAACUUCGGGAGAAGGGGGGCCACGUCUGGUGACGAGUCUUGCACUCUGAGCUGGGGGUGGCCGCAGAGACCAGCGAGAAGCGACUGUUUACUAAAAACACAGGUCCGUGCGAAGCCGUAAGGCGAUGUAUACGGACUGACGCCUGCCCGGUGCUGGAACGUUAAGGGGACCGGUUAGUGCGCUUUCGGGCGUGCGAAGCUGAGAACUUAAGCGCCAGUAAACGGCGGUGGUAACUAUAACCAUCCUAAGGUAGCGAAAUUCCUUGUCGGGUAAGUUCCGACCUGCACGAAUGGCGUAACGACUUCUCGACUGUCUCAACCAUAGGCCCGGUGAAAUUGCACUACGAGUAAAGAUGCUCGUUUCGCGCAGAAGGACGGAAAGACCCCGGGACCUUUACUACAGUUUGAUAUUGGUGUUCGGUUCGGCUUGUGUAGGAUAGGUGGGAGACUUUGAACCAGCCACGCCAGUGGUUGGGGAGUCGCCGUUGAAAUACCACUCUGGUCGUGCUGGAUGUCUAACCUCGGUCCGUGAUCCGGAUCAGGGACAGUGUCUGAUGGGUAGUUUAACUGGGGCGGUUGCCUCCCAAAGGGUAACGGAGGCGCCCAAAGGUUCCCUCAGCCUGGUUGGUAAUCAGGUGUUGAGUGUAAGUGCACAAGGGAGCUUGACUGUGAGACCGACGGGUCGAGCAGGGACGAAAGUCGGGACUAGUGAUCCGGCGGUGGCUUGUGGAAGCGCCGUCGCUCAACGGAUAAAAGGUACCCCGGGGAUAACAGGCUGAUCUUCCCCAAGAGUCCAUAUCGACGGGAUGGUUUGGCACCUCGAUGUCGGCUCGUCGCAUCCUGGGGCUGGAGUCGGUCCCAAGGGUUGGGCUGUUCGCCCAUUAAAGCGGUACGCGAGCUGGGUUUAGAACGUCGUGAGACAGUUCGGUCCCUAUCCUCUGUGCGCGCAGGAAUAUUGAGAAGGGCUGUCCCUAGUACGAGAGGACCGGGACGGACGAACCUCUGGUGUGCCAGUUGUUCUGCCAAGGGCAUGGCUGGUUGGCUACGUUCGGGAGGGAUAACCGCUGAAAGCAUCUAAGCGGGAAGCCUGCUUCGAGAUGAGUAUUCCCACCCACUUGAUGGGGUAAGGCUCCCAGUAGACGACUGGGUUGAUAGGCCGGAUCUGGAAGCACCGUGAGGUGUGGAGGUGACCGGUACUAAUAGGCCGAGGGCUUGUCCUC
rnacentral:rRNA from 1 species